CGCGUCCGCGAGUGGUCUCUGCUCCGCGGGUUCGCUGUUCCGUCGCUGCCUGCGGCCGCGAUCUCCUCUGCAGCCUCUGGUGCCUUGCUCUCCAAGCUCCCAGGCCGUUCUCCUAGAGUAGACGCAGUAUUGGUUUCUGGUUUCCGAAGGAAUGUUCGGGCUUGGCAGACCAGACUGUAUGGCUUGUUUCUAAUGAAAAGACUGUUUCAGAAGUGACAGCAUAAGACUUCCAAAAUGAGGUCAUAAAAGGCAUCCCAGAUGCUACCUUGCUCCUUCUUGGAUCACUUGCUCUGGAGAAAACCAGCUGCUAUGUUAUGAGGACACUUAAGUAGCUCUGUAGAGAGACCCACAUGGCAAGGAACGGAGGCCUCCUGCCAACAGCCAGCACUGACUUGCCAGUCCCAGUCAAGCCUUCAGAUGACAUUUUGUCUAUAACCUGGCAUGGUUCCUUCAAACGGUGUUUUUGGAGAAGGACCAGAUUGAGCGGAUAUAUCUGCCAAGCAACCUGCUGUAUCUCUUGUGGCUCAUUUUCAAAGAGGGGCCAGCAAGGUAACAUAUCACCUUGUAUUACUUAUCUUUCUCUACCUAGCAUCCUUCCAGAGUGUUACUGGAUUCUCACUGUCCUGAAUUUGUACCUCCCAAGAAAAGCAUCAGCAUUUAACAUUUACCUGGAGGACA